rnacentral:tRNA from 1 species
GCCUGGGUGGCUCAGUCGGUUGAGCGUCUGACUUCGGCUCAGGUCAUGAUCUCACAGCUCGUGAGUUCGAGCCCCGCUUUGGGCU